UGUUUUUUAAACAGUUCAGCAUUCUCCAAAAGAAAAAGAAAUCCAGCAUGUGUGCAAUAUUAUCAUAGCUCUGGCAUUGUUCACGCAGGAGUCCUUAUGGUUUUAAAUGGAAAACAUCUGCAAACAAGUUUCAGGAGGAGGAGGAGGAAGUGAAGGAAGGGAGAACCCAUGCUGGAGCAGAGGAAAACUGUGAGAAGGAAGGAGCGGCAGAAAGAAACAGUGAUGUACUGACUAAGUUUGACCAGGAGGAGCAUUAGUUUAUCUGAUCAGCUGCUGAAUGCUUCCAUGCUCAUUUUGCAUUCCUUAACUUCCUAAAGUCCUAAAACUUCAUUUAGCUAAAUCCUGUUUUCAGUUCAACAUGAAGAGACAAAGCAAUGACUGGUCCCUUUGUUCCAACAAUUAAUCAUUUGUUCGAAUUAUUAAACUG